rnacentral:rRNA from 1 species
UGGAAUUCUGUAUAACCUAGUGGCGGACGGGUGAGUAACACGUGAGCAACCUGCCUAUCAGAGGGGGAUAACGAUUGGAAACGAUCGCUAAUACCGCAUGACAUAGCGAAACCGCAUGGUUUUGCUAUCAAAGAUUUAUCGCUGAAAGAUGGCCUCGCGUCUGAUUAGCUAGUUGGUGAGGUAACGGCCCACCAAAGCGACGAUCAGUAGCCGACCUGAGAGGGUGAUCGGCCACAUUGGGACUGAGACACGGCCCAAACUCC